rnacentral:rRNA from 1 species
GUGAGGAAUAUUGCGCAAUGGAGGCAACUCUGACGCAGCCAUGCCGCGUGCAGGAAGAAGGCGCUACGCGUUGUAAACUGCUUUUAACCGGGAAGAAACCCCAGGACGUGUCCUGGGUUGACGGUACCGGAGGAAUAAGCACCGGCUAACUUCGUGCCAGCAGCCGCGGUAAUACGAAGGGUGCAAGCGUUAUCCGGAUUCAUUGGGUUUAAAGGGUGCGUAGGAGGAGCGUUAAGUCAGUGGUGAAAUCCUGCAGCUUAACUGUAGACUUGCCAUUGAUACUGGCGCUCUUGAGUGCGCUUGAAGUGGGCGGAAUGUGCCGUGUAGCGGUGAAAUGCUUAGAUAUGGCACAGAACACCAAUUGCGAAGGCAGCUCACUAAGGCGAUACUGACGCUGAGGCACGAAAGCGUGGGGAUCGAACAGGAUUAGAUACCCUAGUAGUCC